AACGAACGCUGGCGGCAUGCCUAACACAUGCAAGUCGAACGAGACCUUCGGGUCUAGUGGCGCACGGGUGCGUAACACGUGGGAAUUUGCCUCGGGGUAUGGAAUAACUCAGGGAAACUUGAGCUAAUACCAUAUAAUGUCUUCGGACCAAAGAUUUAUCGCCCUGAGAUAAGCCCGCGUAGGAUUAGCUAGUUGGUGGGGUAAAGGCUCACCAAGGCGACGAUCCUUAGCUGGUCUGAGAGGAUGAUCAGCCACACUGGGACUGAGACACGGCCCAGACUCCUACGGGAGGCAGCAGUGGGGAAUAUUGGACAAUGGGCGAAAGCCUGAUCCAGCAAUGCCGCGUGAGUGAUGAAGGCCUUAGGGUUGUAAAGCUCUUUUACCCGAGAUGAUAAUGACAGUAUCGGGAGAAUAAGCUCCGGCUAACNCCGUGCCAGCAGCCGCGGUAAUGUGACUACUG
rnacentral:rRNA from 1 species